rnacentral:rRNA from 1 species
UACGUAGGGGGCAAGCGUUGUCCGGAAUCAUUGGGCGUAAAGCGCGUGUAGGCGGCCCGGUAAGUCCGCUGUGAAAGUCCAGGGCUCAACCCUGGGAUGCCGGUGGAUACUGUCGGGCUCGAGUCCGGAAGAGGCGAGUGGAAUUCCUGGUGUAGCGGUGAAAUGCGUAGAUAUCUGGAGGAACACCGGUGGCGAAGGCGGCAUCCUGGACCGAGAUUGACGCUGAGGCGCGAAAGCUAGGGGAGCAAACGGG